rnacentral:lncRNA from 1 species
CUAAGAAACUUCAAUCUCCACGCGACCAAAGGGCUCAAAUUGUCAGAGUGGAAGGUGGUCUCCGCAUUAUCAGCCCCGACUUGCAGGAUGAAGAAGAUGAAGACGAAGACGAGGACGAACAAGAGCAAGGACACAGUCAAAGGGAGGAAGAAGAAGAUGAUGAUGAAGAUGAAUCCCACAGCCAUGAGAGUCGUCAAAAGUGGAGAAAAUACCGCGAAGAAGAGAAACAAGGAUCACAUAGAAGGGAACAUAAGGAAGAGGAAGAAGAAGAAGAAGAGAAAAUAUGCAAGAAAAGAAGCUGCAGAGGAAAGGGAAGGAAGAAUGGGUUGGAAGAAACAAUUUGCAGUGCAAGGAUUCGCGAGAACAUAAUUCGGCCAGCACGUGCAGAUCUAUACAAUCCACGUGCGGGAAGAAUCAGCACCGUCAACAGUUUAACCCUCCCAAUCCUGAGUUACUUACG